AGCCUGAUGCAGCAACGCCGCGUGAACGAUGAAGGUCUUCGGAUCGUAAAGUUCUGUUGCAGGGGAAGAUAAUGACGGUACCCUGUGAGGAAGCCCCGGCUAACUACGUGCCAGCAGCCGCGGUAAUACGUAGGGGGCUAGCGUUAUCCGGAUUUACUGGGCGUAAAGGGUGCGUAGGUGGUCCUUCAAGUCGGUGGUUAAAGGCUACGGCUCAACCGUAGUAAGCCGCCGAAACUGGAGGACUUGAGUGCAGGAGAGGAAAGUGGAAUUCCCAGUGUAGCGGUGAAAUGCGUAGAUAUUGGGAGGAACACCAGUAGCGAAGGCGGCUUUCUGGACUGCAACUGACACUGAGGCACGAAAGCGUGGGUAGCAAACAGGAUUAGAUACCCUGGUAGUCCACGCUGUAAACGAUGAGUACUAGGUGUCGGGGGUUACCCCCUCGGUGCCGCAGCUAACGCAUUAAGUACUCCGCCUGGGGAGUACGCACGCAAGUGUGAGACUCAAAGGAAUUGACGGGGACCCGCACAAGUAGCGGAGCAUGUGGUUUAAUUCGAAGCAACGCGAAGAACCU
rnacentral:rRNA from 1 species